rnacentral:rRNA from 1 species
GAACGCCUUACCAUUACGGAGUGGCAGACCGGGUGAGUAACACGUGAGGAACAUGCCCCUCGGUUCGGAAUAACUCAGUGGAAACUUGAGCUAAUACCGGAUACGUCCAAUGCAACUUGGAUAAAGAUUAUCGCCGAUGGAUUGGCCCGCGUCUGAUUAGCUAGUUGGUGGGGUAACGGCUCACCAAGGCGACGAUCAGUAUCUGGUCUGAUAGGAUGAUCAGCCUCAUUGGGACUGAGACACGGCCCAAACUCCUACGGGAGGCAUCAGUGGGGAAUAUUGGACAAUGGGCGCAAGCCUGAUCCAGCCAUGCCGCGUGAGUGAUGAAUGCCCUAGGGUUGUAAAGCUCUUUUACCCGGUGAAGAUAAUGACGGUACCGGGAGAAUAAGCCCCGGCUAACUUCGUGCCAGCAGCCGCGGUAAU